AGAGUUUGAUCAUGGCUCAGAUUGAACGCUGGCGGAAUGCCUAACACAUGCAAGUCGAGCGGGGUAGCAAUAUCCAGCGGCGGACGGGUGAGGAAUACAUAGGAAUCUGCCUUUAGGUGGGGGAUAGCCAGGGGAAACUCUGGGUAAUACCGCAUGAUCUCGCAAGAGCAAAGGGGCGCAAGUCCCGCCUUUAGAGGAGCCUAUGUCUGAUUAGCUAGUUGGCGGUGUAAUAGACCACCAAGGCGAUGAUCAGUAACUGGUCUGAGAGGACGAUCAGUCACAUCGGAACUGAGACACGGUCCGAACUCCUACGGGAGGCAGCAGUGGGGAAUAUUGGACAAUGGGCGAAAGCCUGAUCCAGCAAUUCCGCGUGUGUGAAGAAGGCCUUCGGGUUGUAAAGCACUUUUGCGGGGGACGAAACUGACGGUACCCCGCGAAGAAGCCUCGGCUAACUCCGUGCCAGCCGCCGCGGUAAUAC
rnacentral:rRNA from 1 species